rnacentral:rRNA from 1 species
AACGAACGCUGGCGGCAGGCCUAACACAUGCAAGUCGAGCGCCCCAGCAAUGGGGAGCGGCAGACGGGUGAGUAACGCGUGGGAACCUUCCCAAUGGUACGGAAUAGCCCAGGGAAACUUGGAGUAAUACCGUAUACGCCCGAAAGGGGAAAGAUUUAUCGCCAUUGGAUGGGCCCGCGUCUGAUUAGCUAGUUGGUGAGGUAACGGCUCACCAAGGCGACGAUCAGUAGCUGGUCUGAGAGGAUGAUCAGCCACACUGGGACUGAGACACGGCCCACGACUCCUACGGGAGGCAGCAGUGGGGAAGUCUUGCGCAAUGGGCGAAAGCCUGACGCAGCGACGCCGCGUGAGGGAUGACGGCCU